ensembl:lncRNA
GAUGUGGAUGUGUGUCAGAGAGAGAAACGCAGCGGAGCGCUGAUGCACUCGAUCACCUGGAAGGAGAACCUGCAGGAACAUCUCAGAAGAACCGUUACCUUCUCUCCCCGCAGUGUUGUUUUCAGUCUUUGGUGAAAUGUUGCCUGCUAAUAAGAAACGUAUUCAUUUAUUGUGUUAUUUUAAUUUGAGAUAAAUUCUAUCUGAUCAACACAGCAGACGCAGAGAGGAAGGAUUUCAUCUCUUUGCAGAGCUUAAAUGGAAAGAUUCUCAUCCUGUAUAAUCCUUAUAAUAAUAGUAAUGAUAUGUGAUAACACUUAUCCAAUAGAGUCUGUUUAAACGUCUGCAGUAUUUUGUAGAUAAUAGGCGCCGGUCCACUGUGUAUGUUUAUGUGCAGUAUUAAAUAAAGACAUUACAAUCAACAACCACCGAUGAGGCAGGAGCUAGAAAGCUAAAAGAGAAAUCUGCAAUAACAUAAAUACAUAUGUUUCCCUAAAAUUAAUUUCUUCAUCCUAUUAUUUAUUUAUUCUGUAUUUAUUAUCUUAGUGAACGAACACUCCAGCAGAGCGUCUGUGAUUUGUAGCUAAAUGUCACACGUUUUCGCCGGAAGCGCCAAAUCCAAUUAACAAAAGCCCCGGUAACUAUGGCGAUGAGCAUCCUCGACGAAGCCCGGUGUAACUUAUGCACGCACAAAAAAAAAAAAAAAAAACACAGAGGCCAAGAGGUUGCUAUGACAACUGGAAGGGAAACAACAAAGGCAGAGGGAAAGUUGGAGAAGGCUGCAUACGUUCAUACACUCACUAAAUAUCAACUUCAUAAGAACGGAUUUAAAACCAUCAGCUGCUCCCUGGUCAUCCCCCAGCAUGCAUCACUCACGCCGCACUGAAACCAUGGUGAGCCACUCCGUCUCCACCGUCUCGUCCACGCGUUCUUUGCUCUCUUCUCUGGAACAUCCCCAGCGGUCUGUCUUUGUACAGAUGUGUUACAGGCAGCAGCUCGUAUUCCGCCACAGGCUUCUGCACACUGCGCCGGGUAAUUGGGAGAUGAAUGUAGGGAGAAGUGUCAUUGCUUAAUAAGGGAGUACGACGAACCAAGGUUUUAAAAGCGGCAUGGAAUAAAUCAGUCCUCCUGAAUAUGACCUUGUGACCUCCUGCUGCCUGAACAGCCUCGUAAUCAGACAUUUAAAGACAUGAUCCUUUAUUCGUCCUGUAGUGAGGAAAAUCAAACGUUCACAUUCAACCACGUUUUAAAAACUAUCCAGUCAUUGCUCUUUCUUUGCACAUAUUUACAUCAAAGAAGUCUUUUUUUCUCGUGUUGUGCCCACAAACCCUUUUGAUGAGCAGGGUUUGGGAUGUAGCAGCAGGUGGUGAGCCGGCGUAAAAGCCAAACAUGUAUUAAUAAGACUCGCUAGUAGGAGACAGAGUGGACACGCGCACAUUCAUGAAGGCUUCUAGAGGAGCUUCUGCUCCGAAUCCAGAUCAUAUCGUGAAAACAACGCAUACAAAAGCUUGAUGCGACGCACACUAAAGCGACAACAUCUGGACAAGAACUGCCCAGCUGUUCUUCAAACAGCAAAGAGUGUUGAUGAUUGUGUGCGAGGAGGCUUUUCUUUGCACUUGGAACAUAAAACUGUGAGAUUAUCUGGACGCAUAAAUCAUGUUUACCAUCAGAGAACACGAGAGAGAGCGCCGACUCGCUCGUAUUAUUAUAUUAUUUACUUAUUAUAGUUUUCCCAAUCGUGCUCAAGUCCUAAAGACACGAGUCUAACCAAGUUCUGACAAAGACGUUUUACUGGAGUUUCAUGUGUCACAGUGAGUCAUUGAUAACGGAAACGCGUAGACUUCUAAAAACUAAGGUCUCCAGAUUGUCUUGAACACUUUUUAAAAAAAGUCAAAAUACGUAAAAAAAAAUAUUAGGUUAAAAACUCCCAAAAAUGUUAAUGUUGAAUAUGUUUGGUCGAAAAAUGAUAAUAAAAAGGUCAAAUGUUCCAGAGGACUUCAGAGUAAACCUGCUUCUGGUUCACGGUCAGUGUGUUAGGUUGCUAAGGAGAGACCCCCCCCUGUGAAUAACAUUCAUAUUCAAUAGAACAUUACUUACCAAGUUGACAGAUAACUAUUUUCUAUCGAUAGUUUACUGACUUGCUGAGGAAUAAUAAUCCAAAGCUAUUCUCUCUUUUUGAUGUCAAUUUACAGGCAGCAUCCGGCAAACUGUUGUCAAAUAAACUGUGUUUUCAAAUGUGUUCUUUCCACCAGGCUGAAAGAAAUGUGAUCAAAGCUGUGUUUCUGUGUCUGGCCUCACGAUGUCGUCAAUUAAAAGUGCAGGUGAAACAUCUGGUCGGACCAGACAAACAUCUGAACACUGAGCUCGACAGCUCGGUGAAGUAAAGUAACCCAAAUCUGUCUCCCGAGAUAUUCUUAACUGUUUAUUUAGAACUACGCACAAUCAAAACACAUGUUUCCGUCAGUAGCUUUUCUGAAUUCAGUCAUUAGUGGAGAACAUCUCGUUCUCUCAUGUGUCAUCUAUGAUAAAACCACCAAGCCGGCUAAAAGAUGAAAUAUGAAAAUGUGAGCUCCCUUUUACAUCCCUUCAAAGACCCGAUACUUUAAAUAAAAAAUAGGCUAAUAAAAAUAAGCUUUAGCUUCAUGGGAUAUAAAUGAUGAAUAAAAUACUGCUUGAUUUGAAGUGUUGAUCAAAUGUACUUAGUUUGAAAAUUUAAUUUGACAGUUUAUGUCACUGAGGAGACCAAAUGGGAGAGAAUUGAAUGCACCUUCAGAAAACUGGAGGAAACAAUGGUGUGUGUGUGUGUUGUGUGUGUGUGUGUGUGUGUGUGUGUGUGUGUGUGUGU